rnacentral:lncRNA from 1 species
AUCGCCACAAGACGGGCGGACGCGUGUUUUUCGUGCCAAAGCCUCUUCCUCUGCAGAUGACGUUGGUGAUUAAUAUCUGUGAGCAGCACUGACCUAUGCCUGAGUGAAGAGACAUAUAAGUAGGUGCAGAUUGGUGUAGGCUUUGUGCUGCCUUAUAACAGUGGCAGUAUAUUUAAAGUGUACAUCAGAUGCCAAGUGUGCAAUAGAUGUGGGCCUGUGGACACCAGCAGAAGCUGGGGAAAGACGCCUGACUGGGCAGGCCUGCCGCACAGUUUGGAUUCAACCAGAAAGAUUGCGGCAACGCCGGAGAAAGUGGCUGCUGUGAAGAGUGCAGAUUGGUGUGGGAUUUGUGAUGCCACUCAACAAGUGGCAUUACAUACUAAAGUGUACCUCCGAAGCCAAGUGCGCAUUAGGUCUGGCACAGCACCUGUGGACACCAACACAAGCUGGGGAAAGAAGCCCGACUGGGCCGGCCAGCCGGACUAUCUCUGAUGCAUCUGGGAAGCUUCUGGCAACACCAGAGAAAGUGGCUGCUGUGAAGAACUGCCUGGAGAAGUACAUCGGGGAACAUCCGAUGGGGCCACCAGCACCACCUCCAGAGCACCACCUUGCUUCUGUAACGAAGCACCUUUGGAGCUUCUUCACAGAAGCGGGCGCGAGGGCAAGCGAGUAUGGAAGACGUGAAUCGCCUUAACCUAUUGCAUUUUUUCAAUAAAGUGUGA